AUUGAACGCUGGCGGCAUGCUUUACACAUGCAAGUCGAACGGUAACAGGCCUUCGGGUGCUGACGAGUGGCAAACGGGUGAGUAAUGCAUCGGAACGUACCCAGAGGUGGGGGAUAACGCAGCGAAAGCUGUGCUAAUACCGCAUGUGAUCUGAGGAUGAAAGCGGGGGACCGAGCAGCAAUGUUUGGCCUCGCGCCUUUGGAGCGGCCGAUGUCGGAUUAGCUAGUUGGUGGGGUAAAGGCCUACCAAGGCGACGAUCCGUAGCUGGUCUGAGAGGACGACCAGCCACACUGGGACUGAGACACGGCCCAGACUCCUACGGGAGGCAGCAGUGGGGAAUUUUGGACAAUGGGCGCAAGCCUGAUCCAGCAAUGCCGCGUGCGGGAAGAAGGCCUUCGGGUUGUAAACCGCUUUUGGCAGGAACGAAACGGUGUCCGCUAAUACCGGGCGCUAAUGACGGUACCUGCAGAAUAAGCACCGGCUAACUACGUG
rnacentral:rRNA from 1 species